rnacentral:misc_RNA from 1 species
GAUGAAGAACGUAGCGAAAUGCGAUAAGUAAUGUGAAUUGCAGAAUUCAGUGAAUCAUCGAAUCUUUGAACGCAUCUUGCGCUCCUUGGUAUUCUGAGGAGCAUGCCUGUUUGAGUGUCAUUAAAUUCUCAACUACACUGACUUUGAAUUGGUGUGGCUUGGAUUUGGGGGGAAAUUGUUGUGGGCUUUUUGUAUAGUCUGCUCCCCUGAAAUUGAUUAGCGGUACCUUUGUGGAACUGUCUACAGGUGUGAUAAUUAUCUACAUCUUAGACAUCUGCUGGAAUGCUGCUUUCUAAACCUUACUUGUAUUGACAAUCUUGACCUCAAAUCAGGUAGGACUACCCGCUGAACUUAAGCAUAUCAAUAAGCGGAGGA